UACGAAGGGGCUAGCGUUGCUCGGAAUCACUGGGCGUAAAGCGCACGUAGGCGGGUCUUUAAGUCAGGGGUGAAAUCCCGGAGCUCAACUCCGGAACUGCCUUUGAUACUGGAGAUCUUGAGUCCGGGAGAGGUGAGUGGAACUCCGAGUGUAGAGGUGAAAUUCGUAGAUAUUCGGAAGAACACCAGUGGCGAAGGCGGCUCACUGGCCCGGUACUGACGCUGAGGUGCGAAAGCGUGGGGAGCAAACAGG
rnacentral:rRNA from 1 species